AUACGUAGGGUGCGAGCGUUGUCCGGAAUUACUGGGCGUAAAGAGCUCGUAGGUGGUUUGUCGCGUCGUCUGUGAAAUUCCGGGGCUUAACUCCGGGCGUGCAGGCGAUACGGGCAUAACUUGAGUACUGUAGGGGAGACUGGAAUUCCUGGUGUAGCGGUGAAAUGCGCAGAUAUAAGGAGGAACACCGGUGGCGAAGUGGGGUCUCUGGGCAGUAACUGACGCUGAGGAGCGAAAGCAUGGGUAGCGAACAGGAUUAGAUACCCUGGUAGUCCAUGCCGUAAACGGUGGGCGCUAGGUGUAGGGGUCUUCCACGACUUCUGUGCCGUAGCUAACGCAUUAAGCGCCCCGCCUGGGGAGUACGGCCGCAAGGCUAAAACUCAAAGGAAUUGACGGGGG
rnacentral:rRNA from 1 species